rnacentral:misc_RNA from 1 species
GGAUCACUGCUUGACAAAAAAAAAGUAAGAAAGGUCACAGUACAAUUGAUACAAAAUGCAGCAAAGAAUUAAGAAGAAUAAGUUGACAACAAAGCAGAGGAAACAGAGUAAGUAAAUGACAUUCAUGCCUUCAUCCUAAAAGUAAAUAGUCAAAUUUUAAGAGUAAAAAUCCCAGAUAAUAAGUUUAUGCUGGUAUUUAUAGACUACUGGAACCAUUCCUAGUUCAACAAAAAUAUUUACCACUCCACUUUUCCUAAAUGCUUAAAACCCUAUUUUACCACAUCAUUCUCCUCUAGUUAGAGAAAACUUAACCUCAUGCUUUAUAAUACCUUAAAGCACACACAAACAUGAAAUAUUGG